AACGAACGCUGGCGGCAUGCCUAACACAUGCAAGUCGAACGAGACCUUCGGGUCUAGUGGCGCACGGGUGCGUAACGCGUGGGAACCUGCCCUUAGGUUCGGAAUAACUCCCCGAAAGGGGUGCUAAUACCGGAUAAUGUCUUCGGACCAAAGAUUUAUCGCCUUUGGAUGGGCCCGCGUUGGAUUAGCUAGUUGGUAGGGUAAAAGCCUACCAAGGCGACGAUCCAUAGCUGGUCUGAGAGGAUGAUCAGCCACACUGGGACUGAGACACGGCCCAGACUCCUACGGGAGGCAGCAGUGGGGAAUAUUGGACAAUGGGCGAAAGCCUGAUCCAGCAAUGCCGCGUGAGUGAUGAAGGCCUUAGGGUUGUAAAGCUCUUUUACCCGGGAUGAUAAUGACAGUACCGGGAGAAUAGACUCCGGCUAACUCCGUG
rnacentral:rRNA from 1 species